AGUACUCUGACAGUGAGUCAUGCUACCUCAGCUGACACAGGCAACUACACGUGUCGAGCCCUCAACACAGCGUUUGACACCAUAUAUGUCUUCGUGUCCAAGGAAGGGGAUAACACUGCUGCUAUACAGAGGUUAGAGACAUCUUCUUCCGGUGUACAGAGUGCGACGCUGCUGACAGCCUGUCUGCUCUUCCACUGUGCCUUUCUUAGAUAGCUGUUUAGGAUCUGAAUUUUGCAAUUUUUCUACAGAAAAGGUUUGGAAAUGAAGAGAAUUUUAUCUUCUAAAAGAAGCGGUGAAAGACGACGUACUGUGUCAUGCCUUAAAAGUUACCAAUAAGUGUCUAACUGAAGAUAGAAGAUAGUUUGUUUUAACCUGUAUUAGUUCCUUCGAUUCCCCUUGUAUUAGUGUUAAUACUAUUUUCUAGGGUGCUCAUAAUGUUAUUGUAGAUGGAAUAGCAAUUAUCAAAAUGUUAUUUGUUUAAUUACAUUCUGUGUAAUAUGAUAGAUAG